CCAGAGCCAUGCAGCCUAAUCCAGCAGCUCUGGGGAGAUGAGAGAUCUGGUUACAGUGUGCUUGUGUCUGAGGCCCAGAUGCAGGGAAAUGUGUCUUUAACCGAGGAUGAAGUGCCAUCAUCACACUCUGCUCUUUCCCACUGUAACCUGCUGCUGUCACACUGGCACUGAUGCUCCCGUCCCUUGGUGGAACUUGUCUCCCUGAUUGCUGAUCUGCCUCUCCAGCACCACCAAACCAAUGGAAGUCACUCCACUGCAACCCCCAAGGCCAGUUUUGCUCACCAUACAGGGAGAUAUCAGUGCUCAGGAUUCAGGGACCAUCCUGCCCCUGUUGCAGCAGCAGGAAGAUGAAGCAGUUUGGAAGAAAUCUGUCGGAAAGACACGGCUCUAAUCCCUCUCUUGGAGGUCCUGAUCCUCCUGACACCCAGUGCCACCACCCCUCAUCCCCCUCCUCACCACGGGGGUCUCACCUGGAGCGAGAUGGACACCACAAGGCUCUUGAGGGAAGCAAAGGAACUUGUUAAAGCCUCUUGUUUCCCUCUCCUUUUCA